GUUAAAAUGUGGCAACUUGUGUUAUUGAUAAUAAUUUCUGUGAUGGUUUCUAUUAAAACUGCACCCGCAAAUAUUUAUACUCGCGGACCUCAAUAUGCAGUUAGUACAGAACCUGAACACCCUAAGCAGCCUUUCAUAGAAGUUCGUAACGCAACUUACCACGGCAGUGGACCACGAGAAGAAGCGCGUGCGAUGUGUUCUGUCAAGACUCAAGAAAUUAACGCAACGGCGAAUGCGACUAUUACGAGACGUUUACACGGAGUUGUCACUUCAAGAGAACUUCACAGUUCUAUUCAGCGUUUGGAGGUGAUAAUUCACGGCCAGAUGCAGCAGCUGUGGCAGAGUUUAGACGCCUUGCGAUCUCAAAUAGCCGGCAACCCACGAGUUACAUACCCCGAUCGACGCAGUGUUACAUUUAGGUACAGACCUAACUUUGUUUAAUUAUUUAUUAAAUUCGAUAUAUUAUUAUUAAAGUUUGAGAUUAAAAUUUGAAAAUAAAUGUCUAUUUUCUUUUAUCACCUUGUAAUGGCUCCACACAGACGUAAAGGCAUUAAAUAUCAAUGUUGGUUUGGUUUUUUUUUGUAAAAUUAUAAUAUUUUUGUCUACGAUGUUUGAUUGUUCUGACCAAGCGUUUACUUAUUCUUAAAUUCAAAACAUACCUUUAAGACAUUAACAUUUAUUAAAUGUAGAUUAAGCAUCAUGAAGUACGUGAUAAAUUUAUCAAGUUGAAAUUAGACUAAACUUUGUUUAUUUUUUUGUUGUUGUUAAAUGUAAUUCGGUUUUUUUUUGUUUAUAUUCAGUACUUAUUCCUUUGUUCAAAAGAAUGACGUUUUGUAACUAAUUAAUUCAAAAAGUACCUAUACGUGGAAUAAAUUUGUUAUUAUUUUCCUACAUUUAGUUUUUCUUAACAUCAAAGAGUCGUUGCACAUUAAUAUUAUUCGAAUUUCUGUGA